CGCCCCUUGAAAGGUUUAUAUCCAAGAAAUAAGGGGUACUGCCUGCCCAGUGACGUAGAAGUUAAACGGCCGCGGUAUCUUGACCGUGCAAAGGUAGCAUAAUCAUUUGCCUUUUAAAUGGAGGCUGGAAUGAAUGGCAAGACGGGAAUUUGACUGUCUCUUUCCUAAUAACCCUGAAUUUAAUAUUCUAGUGAAGAAGCUGGAAUAAAGUCGUGGGACGAGAAGACCCUAUUGAGCUGAAAUAAUUUUGGUAAAUGCGAUUUUUUUGCUGGAGGCUAAUUAGUAGAAUUUUAAUUAGUAGGUUUACUUCUAGUGAGAAAAGUAUUGUUCUAAACUCUGUUUUGGUUGGGGCAACCGCGGAGAAAAAAAAACCUCCGCUAGAAAAUAUAAAAGUAUAGUUUUUAUUUAGAAACUUUCUAUGAAAUGAUCCACUAUAAAAGGUGAUCAAAGGAAAAAGUUACCAUAGGGAUAACAGCGUAAUUUUUUUGGAGAGUUCAUAUUGAUAAAAAAGUUUGCGACCUCGAUGUUGGAUCGAGACUUCCUGGGGGUGCAGAAGCUCCAAAGGGUUGGUCUGUUCGACCAUUAAAGUCUU
rnacentral:rRNA from 1 species